UACGUGCGAGGCGAGCGUUAUCCGGAAUUAUUGGGCGUAAAGAGCUCGUAGGCGGCCUGUCGCGUCGGAUGUGAAAGCCCGGGGCUUAACCCCGGGUCUGCAUUCGAUACGGGCAGGCUGGAGUGUGGUAGGGGAGAUCGGAAUUCCUGGUGUAGCGGUGAAAUGCGCAGAUAUCAGGAGGAACACCGGUGGCGAAGGCGGAUCUCUGGGCCAUUACUGACGCUGAGGAGCGAAAGCGUGGGGAGCGAACAGG
rnacentral:rRNA from 1 species